GUAGGUGGCAAGCGUUGUCCGGGAAUUAUUGGGGCGCAAAGCGCGCGCAGGCGGUUCUUUAAGUCUGAUGUGAAAGCCCACGGGCUCAACCGUGGAGGGUCAUUGGAAACUGGAGAACUUGAGUACAGAAGAGGAAAGCGGAAUUCCACGUGUAGCGGUGAAAUGCGUAGAGAUGUGGAGGAACAUCAGUGGCGAAGGCGGCUUUCUGGUCUGUAACUGACGCUGAGGCGCGAAAGCGUGGGAAGCAAACAGGAUUAGAUACCCUGGUAGUCCACGCCGUAAACGAUGAGUGCUAAGUGUUAGGGGGUUUCCGCCCCUUAGUGCUGCAGCUAACGCAUUAAGCACUCCGCCUGGGGAGUACGGCCGCAAGGCUG
rnacentral:rRNA from 1 species